ACCUGUUGUUUUACCAUCAAGUAUUUCAACUAGAUGCCUCAGAGGUAAUUCAUUAAAAUGGAGGAGACAGAUAGCCCAUUGUACUGGUCUUUUUAAACGCGUUUCAAUGAAUUUUAUUGCACCAUUCUUCCACCCAGUAUUUGUUGACGUACCAUCACAUCCAAUCACUACAACAUUAGAUUGAUUUAUACCAUUUUCUUCAAAAUAAUUUGGAAUGCUGUAUGCUGUGUCCUUUCCACUUUUUGAAAUUGAUAACGUUUGUUUCCUUUUUCAACUAAAACUAAAGUGUCAUCCAUCCUGCCAUCAAAAUACACACACAUCGGAUCUUUUAAUUGCUCUAUUGCAUUCCCCGAUUCGAUAAGUUUUAGUCUAAAUUUUUCUUUUUCUCUUCUAAUUUUGCUUCGAUCAACAACAAAAGAAGUAUUUUUGUCCGUUAUAAGACCAACGUCUUUAAAUGCACUAGACACAAUAGAUGCUGCUGCUCUAUCAGAUACUCCAAAACGAUCACUUGUUCAAGCCGUUGCUGGAAGUGAUAAGAGCAUCUGUGCAUUUUUUGAACUUGCUGACUGAGAGGAAAUAGAGCGUGAGGUCUGAGAAUCGGGAUCAUUCUUAUCAUUGUCAACUUCAGGAGUUAUCUCUGUUUCAGAAUCAAUGCUACUACAAGAAGGUCCAGGGCAUGUGCAGUUGAUAGUUACCGGCCUUGGACAAAUACACUUGUCAAAGCUUCUUUGACAAAAGCAAUUGAGUGUCAUCUCGCACUUGCAGGACGAAAUGUCAAAUAAUGUACUUGAAGAUUGUUCAAUAAAAUCAUUGUACUUCUUUUGUUUCUCAGGUGUGUCUUUGUCCCUU